CCCUUCAUUUUGGCCAGUUUCUCCUAUUUGGAUUGGGUGUAUUUAUGCAAUGGCUGUACUCCCAUUAUAUAUAGAAGGUAACUAACUUGCUUUUGCUUUUACAGACUCAUAGGCAAAAGGGACUUGCCUUGUCUCAGAUGAAACUUUGGACUUGGACUUUGGGGUUAAUGCUAGAAUGAGUUAAGUCUUCAGAGGACUGUUGAAAGGGCACGGUUGUGUUUUGAAAUGUAAGGAUGUGAGAUUUGGGAGGGGCCAGGGGUAAAAUGAUACGGUUUGACUCUGUGUCCCCACCCAAAUAUCACCUUGAAUUGUAGUAAUUCCUAUAUGUCACGGGCAGAACCAGGUGGAGAUAAUUAAAUCAUGGGGGUGGUUUCCCCCAUGCUGUUCUCAUUAUAAUGAGUGACUUGUCACAGGAUCUGAUGGUUUUAUAAGGGGUUCCCCGCUUCACUUGACCCUCAUUCUCUCCUGCCACCCUAUAAACAGGCGACUCCUGCCAUGAUUUUAAGUUUCCUGUGUCCUUCCCAGCCAUGUGGAACUUUUUCAAUUGGAGAUCACAAGAUUUAGAGAAUUCCAAUAACUACUAUCUUCUAGUUCAAAUAACAUUCACCGAAUGGCAAAAACAUCUGCAAGAGUUAAAGAUGGCACCAUGGUGAGGAGGGCUAGGGAGAGGACAGGGACAACACUCCUGAUAUGUAAGAAGAGAGCCAUGUGAAGCUGUGCUUGCUUCCCUGUCAUCCAUGUUGUUGUUAGCCAAGUAUAAUCGCUGGCCAGGCUCCUGACAAGCAUCUCCAGCAAAUAGUUCCACAGAGGCGGAGCAGACCAAAAUUGUCUUGGAAGAGGAUGGUGUGAGCUUCUGGAAAUGGAAGUUCACCAGACUGUCUCAAAAGAAACCGUCUAGCCCUGCUCCCUCCAUCCUUCACCAACACACCAGUCAGAUCAGGGAACCAUGGAAUUAAAUUGCCUACAAAAGGUGAGAAUUUUAUUUCUUUUUAUUUCUUAUUUUCCAGUAUAAUAUUGAUUCAGGUUAUUGCCAUUUACAGAUAAUUAAGAUAAUUACUAUCAAUAAGUGCUUCUCAAAAACAAUGGGGCUUCUCAAAAUAAAAUUUUGGUCCUUAACAGAUUAGAUAUUUAAUUCCUUUCAUCUCUAAAAGCAAACAAACAUGCCAGGAAUAAUUUAACAUAUUAAUUUAUCUUCAAUUAUUAUUUUAAAAAUUGAUUAAAAGUGAAUCUUUUUAAAAGAUAUUUUGUAGCCACAUGUUAUAAAAAAAUUUAGUGUGGUUUUAUUAAGGAUAAGAGAUCUUUGACAAUUACCUUGCUGGUGAAGGAAUUUGAAAAGCAAAGCCUUAAAAAAAUAAAUGAUUUUUGUUAAUAGUGUUACAAUAAACAUACAUGUGCCUGUGUGUCUUUAUAGUAGAAUGAUUAAUAUUCCUUUGGAUAUUUAGCCAGUAACGGGAUUGCUGGGUCCAAUGGUAUUUCUGUUUCUAGAUCCUUGAGGAAUUGCCAUACUGUCUUCCACAAUGUUGAACUAAUUUACAUUCUCACUAACACUGUAAAAGUGUUCCUAUUUCUCCACAACCUUGCCAGCAUCUACUGUUUCCGGACUUUUUAAUAAUCUCCAUUCUGACUGGCAUGAGAUGGGAUCUCAUUGUGGUUUUGAUUUGCAUUUCUCUGAUGAUCAGUAAUGUUGAGCUUUUUUUCAUAUGCUUGUUGCCAGUGUAAAUGUCUUCUUUUGAGAAGUGUCUGUACAUAUUCUUUGCCCUCUUUUUGAUCAGGUUGUUGUUCUGUUUUGUAAAUUUUUUAAGUCCCUUGUAAAUUCUGGAUAUUAGACCUUUGUCAAAUGGGUAGAUUGCAAAAAUUGUCUCCUAUUCUGUAGGGGGCCUAUUCACUCUGAUGAUAGUUCCUUUUGCUUUGCAGAAGCCCUUUAGUUUAAUUAGAUCCAUUUGUCAAUUUUGGUUUUUGUUGCAAUUGUUUUUGGCAUUUUUAUCAUGAAGUCUUUUUCCAUGCCUAUGUCCUGAAUGGUAUUGCUGAGGUUUUCUUUCAGUGUUUUGUGGUUUGAGGUUUUACAUUUAAGUCUUUAAUCCAUCUCGAGUUAAUUUUUCUAUAAAGUUUCAGCUUUCUGAAUAUGACUAGCCAGUUUCCCCAGCACCAUAUAUUGAAUAGGAGAUCCUCUCGGCAUUGCUUUUUUGGUCAGAUUUGUUGAAUAUCAGAUGGUUGUAGAUGUGUGGUGGUAUUUGUGAGGUCUCUGUUCUGCACCGUUGGCCUAUAUGUCUGUUUUGGUUGCUGUAGCCUUGUAGUGUAGUUCGAAUAGCAUGGUUUGUGCAGUUUUCAGUGUGAUGCCUCCAGCUUUGUUCUUUUUGCUUACACAGGGUCUUAGAUUAUA
ensembl:lncRNA